UCAACUUCGUCAACAGAAAAGGUUUCCAUUCUGUCAAUGUGCAGGUUAUCUGUGACUCACAUUUGGCUUUGUAGUGGCCAGGUGGGACACAUGAUUCAGUCAUUGCGCAGAACAACAGUUCAGUUGGCCUUAACCUCCAGACGGGAGUUGUUGAGUAUGGAUGGCUUAUUGGAGACCGGGGCUACCCAUUAAAAACCAUAGCUGAUGACUCCCCUCACAAACCAACAAGAUGCAAGGUUUGCUACAUUGUCAAGGCUUGCAGUGUGCGCCACAACAUUACAUUCAAAAAUGGCAUUCCACUGAAUGAUCCACCCAGAUCCGAUGAGCCCAUGACUGACGGAGUGUUUCCCACCACCCAUAGCUCUGGAACUGAAGACAAGAGUCAAUAUCAUACAACGGUUUAAAGUACUGCGUCAGUCAAAACAUGCCGCACAGCUGAAGUGCUCGCCAAAGCAGACACACUUCUUGUAGGCCUGGGGAUGGCUGGGGGGGUCAGGCAAAUCACCCACAUCUGUGAAGAUUUCAUGUUUUGUUAUAUAUUUGUCAAGAAAAAAUAUUUAGAUGCGG